CAGCCGCCGCGGUAAUACGUAGGUGGCAAGCGUUAUCCGGAAUUAUUGGGCGUAAAGCGCGCGUAGGCGGUUUUUUAAGUCUGAUGUGAAAGCCCACGGCUCAACCGUGGAGGGUCAUUGGAAACUGGAAAACUUGAGUGCAGAAGAGGAAAGUGGAAUUCCAUGUGUAGCGGUGAAAUGCGCAGAGAUAUGGAGGAACACCAGUGGCGAAGGCGACUUUCUGGUCUGUAACUGACGCUGAUGUGCGAAAGCGUGGGGAUCGAACAGGAUUAGAUACCCCUGUAGUCCCUGUCUCUUAUAC
rnacentral:rRNA from 1 species